AGUGAACGCUGGCGGCGUGCCUAAUACAUGCAAGUCGAACGGAGUGGCGCACGGGUGAGUAAUAUAUAGCUAAUCUGCCCCUUGCUGGAGGACAACAGUUAGAAAUGACUGCUAAUACCCCAUAGCAAGGGAUGAGACUAUAUCGUAUCAGCUAGUCGGUGGGGUAACGGCCUACCGAGGCUAUGACGCGUAACUGGUCUGAGAGGAUGAUCAGUCACCGUAGAACUGAGACACGGUCCAUACUCCUGCGUGAAGCGGCAGUAGGUAGUAUUGCGCAAUGGGUGAAACCCUUACGCAGCAACGCCGCGUGGAGGAUGACACUGUUCGUAGCAUAAACUCCUUUUGUGAGGGAAGCGGUACCUAACGAAUAAGCACCGGCUAACUCCGUGCCAGCCGCCGCGGUAAUAC
rnacentral:rRNA from 1 species